rnacentral:rRNA from 1 species
UCAAGCUAAUAAGAGCACAGGGUGGAUGCCCAGGCACCAAACGCCGACGAAAGACGUGGCAAGCUGCGAAAAGUCACGGGGAACCGCAAGCAGGUAUUGAUCCGUGAACGUCUGAAUGGGGAAACCCGGCGGGUUAACAGCCCGUCACUAUUAACUGAAUCAAUAGGUUAAUAGGGGGAACGCGGGGAACUGAAACAUCUCAGUACCCGUAGGAAGAGAAAAUAAAGAAUGAUUUCCUAAGUAGCGGCGAGCGAACGGGAAAGAGGCCAAACCGAAGGGCUUGCUCUUCGGGGUUGUGGAUCAGCAAAAAGGACGGAAGACCUUAGCAGAAGAGGAUUGGAAAGUCCCGCCAGAGAGGGUAAAAGCCCCUUACGCGAAAAGGUCAAACGACGAGCUGACACCAGAGUACCGCAGGACACGAGAAAUCCGGUGGGAAGCCGGGAGGACCACCUCCCAAGCCUAAAUACGAAUUGGUGACCGAUAGCGCAUAGUACCGUGAGGGAAAGGUGAAAAGAACCCCGGGAGGGGAGUGAAAAAGAACCUGAAACCCUGUGUUUACAAGCAGUGAAAGUGCGAGCAAGGCACGAUCACGUACUUUUUGUAGAACGGACCGGCGAGUUACGUUAUGCAGCAAGGUUAAGAACUGAAGGUUCGGAGCCGAAGCGAAAGCGAGUCUGAAAAGGGCGAUAGUUGCAUGACGUAGACCCGAAACCGGGUGACCUAUCCAUGAGCAGGUUGAAGUGGAGGUAAAGCUCCAUGGAGGACCGAACCAGACGUCUGUUGAAAAAGGCGGGGAUGACUUGUGGAUAGGGGAGAAAUUCCAAUCGAACCCGGAGAUAGCUGGUUCUCCUCGAAAUAGCUUUAGGGCUAGCCUCAUGGAUCAUUGAUGGGGGUAGAGCACUGAAUGUGCGCGGGGGCCACAAAGCCUACCAAACGCUAUCAAACUUCGAAUACCAUACAAUGCAGACCAUGGGAGUCAGUCCGCGAGAGAUAAGUUCCGCGGGCAAAAGGGGAACACCCCAGAUCAACCGCUAAGGUCCCCAAGUUCACGUUAAGUGGAGAAGGAUGUGGAAUUGCACAGACAACCAGGAUGUUGGCUCAGAAGCAGCCACACAUUUAAAGAGUGCGUAAUAGCUCACUGGUCGAGUGAUUGUGCGCCGAAGAUGUCCGGGGCUAAACGUGACACCGAAGCGAUGGGUGCAUCUGAAGAAGAUGCGCGGUAGAGGAGCAAUGUGCAGAGGCAGAAGCCGUAUCGAGAGGCACGGUGGACACUGCACAAGAGAGAAUGCCGGUAUGAGUAGCGAGAGGCAUGCGAGAAACAUGCCCGUCGAAAGCCCAAGGUUUCCUGGGGAAGGUUCAUCCGCCCAGGGUAAGUCGGGGCCUAAGCCGAGGACGGAAGUCGUAGGCGAUGGACAGCAGGUGUAGAUUCCUGCACUACCGAUGGAAUGAAGCAGUGACACAGAAGGAUAACUCGAGCAGGGUGAUGGUCAACCCUGUGCAAGCAUCAAGGUUGGGUUGUAGUGAAGUACGCAACCCUACAAGCUGAGGUGUGAUGCGGACCGAAAUUUCAGUAGGGAAGCGAGUGAGUUCACGCUGGCGAGAAAAGCUGCUAGUACAUCCAAAGGUACCCGUACCGGAAACCGACGCAGGUGGGCGAGGAGAGAAUCCUGAGACGAACGGGAGAACCCUUGUUAAGGAACUCGGCAAAAUGACCCCGUAACUUCGGGAUAAGGGGUGCCUGCGAGAGCAGGCCGCAGAGAAUAGUCACAAGCGACUGUUUAGCAAAAACACAGGUAUCUGCGAAAGCGAGAGCUGACGUAUAGGUGCUGACACCUGCCCGGUGCUGGAAGGUUAAGGGAACAUGUUAGAGCAAUCGAAGCAUCGAACCGAAGCCCCAGUAAACGGCGGCCGUAACUAUAACGGUCCUAAGGUAGCGAAAUUCCUUGUCGGGUAAGUUCCGACCCGCACGAAUGG